ensembl:lncRNA novel transcript
AGAUCCAUACAAACCUACCGAGAUCUCAGGUUCAGUGCUUGUACUGAGCAAGGGCGUCAGGAAACAGCUGGCCUGUCUCCUUUCUCUCACCUCAGCCGUCCUGUCACUGUUCCCGGACAGCCUAUCCGUUCCAGGUUCUCUGCCCCACACUGAUUAAGUUCCAAGGUGAACUGCAAAGAUUUCUGUUUUUCUUUAACAAGAUGAAGGAUCUUGAUUAAUUAUGUAAUACUGUAUUUCCUGAAUAUGGGCACUGUCUUUUACAUAUCUAAGAAAAUAAAGCUAGAGAGAAUUCCAAUGCAGAGUGUAGGAAGCUCUGCUGAAGUCUGUUCUGAGGUGUCUCUUAGCUGAUGAAAGGAUUUUCCUCUGUUCUGGCUGAAGGCAUGGCAUUCUUCUAGACUUGCAUAUUCAUCACGUUCACCCAAGACUUCCUUUGCUGGUGCCGAUCGCAGUGUACAUGGAAGGCUCCUGUCUUUGGUGAGAGUUUACUCCAGGCUGUCUCAGCUGCCUCCUGCAGACUUUGUGACUGUUCCGAGGGCUUUAGCUCUGGAUUUCUGUGACUCUUUCAGACAGAUUCCUUUUAUCUCCAUUUUGCUC